rnacentral:rRNA from 1 species
UACGAAGGGAGCUAGCGUUGUUCGGAAUCACUGGGCGUAAAGCGCACGUAGGCGGAUGUGUCAGUCAGGGGUGAAAUCCCGGAGCUCAACUUCGGAACUGCCUUUGAUACAGCACGUCUUGAGUCCGAUAGGGUGGGUGGAAUUCCUAGUGUAGAGGUGAAAUUCGUAGAUAUUAGGAAGAACACCGGUGGCGAAGGCGGCCCACUGGAUCGGUACUGACGCUGAGGUGCGAAAGCGUGGGGAGCAAACAGG